UCGAUUCCCUUAGUAGCGGCGAGCGAAACGGGAAGAGCCCAAACCAACAAGCUUGCUUGUUGGGGUUGUAGGACACUCUAUACGGAGUUACAAAGGACGACAUUAGACGAAUCAUCUGGAAAGAUGAAUCAAAGAAGGUAAUAAUCCUGUAGUCGAAAAUGUUGUCUCUCUUGAGUGGAUCCUGAGUACGACGGAGCACGUGAAAUUCCGUCGGAAUCUGGGAGGACCAUCUCCUAAGGCUAAAUACUCUCUAGUGACCGAUAGUGAACCAGUACCGUGAGGGAAAGGUGAAAAGCACCCCGGAAGGGGAGUGAAAUAGAACCUGAAACCGUGUGCUUACAAGUAGUCAGAGCCCGUUAAUGGGUGAUGGCGUGCCUUUUGUAGAAUGAACCGGCGAGUUACGAUUUGAUGCAAGGUUAAGCAGUAAAUGUGGAGCCGUAGCGAAAGCGAGUCUGAAUAGGGCGUUUAGUAUUUGGUCGUAGACCCGAAACCAGGUGAUCUACCCUUGGUCAGGUUGAAGUUCAGGUAACACUGAAUGGAGGACCGAACCGACUUACGUUGAAAAGUGAGCGGAUGAACUGAGGGUAGCGGAGAAAUUCCAAUCGAACCUGGAGAUAGCUGGUUCUCUCCGAAAUAGCUUUAGGGCUAGCCUCAAGUGAUGAUUAUUGGAGGUAGAGCACUGUUUGGACGAGGGGCCCCUCUCGGGUUACCGAAUUCAGACAAACUCCGAAUGCCAAUUAAUUUAACUUGGGAGUCAGAACAUGGGUGAUAAGGUCCGUGUUCGAAAGGGAAACAGCCCAGACCACCAGCUAAGGUCCCAAAAUAUAUGUUAAGUGGAAAAGGAUGUGGCGUUGCCCAGACAACUAGGAUGUUGGCUUAGAAGCAGCCAUCAUUUAAAGAGUGCGUAAUAGCUCACUAGUCGAGUGACACUGCGCCGAAAAUGUACCGGGGCUAAACAUAUUACCGAAGCUGUGGAUUGUCCUUUGGACAAUGGUAGGAGAGCGUUCUAAGGGCGUUGAAGCAUGAUCGUAAGGACAUGUGGAGCGCUUAGAAGUGAGAAUGCCGGUGUGAGUAGCGAAAGACGGGUGAGAAUCCCGUCCACCGAUUG
rnacentral:rRNA from 1 species